UUAUUUUUUUUCCCAUUUUUUUAUUAAUUGAUUGAUUGAUUAAUAUUAUGAAUGUAGCUUUGAAGUGCUUCUUCUUAUUGGUAUACUGUUUGUGGGUUCAAUUACUGUUUUCCACCUUUAUUGACUUUUGCAAGCAAAGUAUGCGAAACACGGACAAUGGUCCUGAUUCUUUGUUGCAAUCAGGAAGGCAUCAGGAUGCUGUUACUGAUGUAGAGCCCAGUUUUCUUUCUGGCGAUGCUCCUUGACAAAUUUAUAUAGCACAGGUUCUGAUAAUGAAUCCUGAGGAUCGAGAGAGUGUUCAACUUGAAGGUCUUAGGGAUGACAAUCAAACAAUUUGUGCAUUUCUUUCUCCACUUAGUUGUUAUUUAGUUUGCCUCUUUCCGUGGUUCACUAGUUGUUUGCUGUUGAUUGAUUUUGCCAGCCUACAUUUUUGGGGACAAAAGAACUAGCUUCUGUUAAUUUGUGGAUGAAUAAUGCUCAAUCUAGUUGUUUUAUGCCCCCCUUCUGCAAGUCCAUUUUUUACCCAAAGCCUGUGUUCGUUGAGGCCUCAAACCACAUGUAUGCCACUUUUUUGUGAGGAAGAAGUUGAUUUCUGUUCUCCCUUCAUUUCGUAAGAGCAGGAAAAUGUAAUUCGAGUAAGUUCUGUUGCUCUUGAAAACCCUGACUUCUCAUUAUAUCCGAGAGCAAAAAGCUCCAUGGACUACGCUCAGAAGGUUUUUCUUCAUGCAGAUGAUGCACUUUUCAUUCCUGAAGGCUGGUAAGGUUUAAAAAUGUAACGAUGCUCAUGAGAAAGUUCCCGGCACUAGGAAACUUCCUGUAAUAUGAGAAUAUAAUGCUAACUUGAAAAGCUUCUGAUAUAGUUCUAGCCUUUAUUUAUGUUUGGUAUUGACCUUUUCUUUCUAUUUUCAUAACAAAUUACAAGAAAUCUCAGAUGUGCCUUUUACUUUCUUUCAUGACUUUUGUUCUCUGUUGUAUCAGGGGUGUAUCCAUAAAGUUUAUUGCUUAGUCAUCACAAAAGGUGGCAGAGCUGACUAGAGAGAUUGAUGAAUUCUUGUGGUGGAGGAUGAGGAAUUAGGAAUUACAGUUGAGUUUGGGGAGGAAAACAUAAAAAUAUGAGUUUUGGUAGCUAUUGGUUUGUUAUUGAAUUCUGUAAACACUUGCAGGAAUCUCACCUGAAGGCAACAUAAAGAAAAUGACUCAUAACUGAAGGUUACAGAAAUAACGUAAGACUUCCGAAACAUAGGAAGUAAAACUUAACAAGAAACCAACAACUUUCUAAUCCUUAAGAAACCUUAAAAAAAAAAUACUCUUCUUUGUUUAUGCACAAUUUAUUACACCAUCAUUAAGUCAUUAGACCUAUUUCUUUGACUCAACUUCACUUUUAGUAUUUAAUCAGGUGAGAUGACUGUUGUCUCCACAGGUUCCACCAAGUAGAUAGUGAUGAUUUGACCAUUCCUGUCAACUUUUGGUGUUAGUCCAAUUUAAUGUCUAAUAUGUUAGGGCACAUGGAUGCUUAUUAUUUGCGGAGAUUAUUAAUAAGGUGCUUUUGAUUCAUUAUCUUCUAUAAUGUUUCAGUUAUUUCUCCUUUUUGUCUUUUUUUUUUAAAUAUGAAAUUGUUUAAGUUCGGUGUCGGCAUCUGCAGUUAAGCUAUCACAAUUUGGUGAUUUUGUUUUCUCUAACAUGUUACAUUGGCUCGCCAAAUCAAUGUAUAAAUUCAAGAUUGACAGACAAAGAAAUGGUACGUCCAUUGCCUUGAUAUGCCAGAUGUUGCAAAUAUCAUUGCUUACUCCAAAUUGAGACCUUUCUCUUGUUUUCGGGCACUGCAAAAUGUUUUUUAUGUUAGCUUGCUUGCAUCAUAUUUACAUGAAUUCUUUGCCAAUGUGCAGUUCUUUUUGUGAGACUGCCUUGGGUUUGUCAUCAGCCACGCCUCUGUAGUGUAAAAACAUUGCAGUGGAAAGAGAAAAAAUGUUUCUACAAAUUAUUUAGUCAAAGAGAUUCUGCUCGAGCUUUGAAAAGCUUGAGGGUCACUUACAGAUAAAAUUGUAAACCUACUUUAAUUGUAUUUGGAUACUUUGUUGAAGCUUUUAGAUUUGUUUGUAGACUAAAAGCUUUGAAAUCUCAAGUAUUAUGACAAUUGGUGCUCAAAAUAUCAUAGUCAGAGUCUUCUUACUAAAGAGUACACAUUAAUGAAAAUUUCAAAAGUUUUUUUCAUCCAGUAAGUUUGAGUAGUCUACUAUACUGUUUCUUUUCCUUCCGGUCCCUUGUUUUGAGCUUCAAGUUUAUGGUCAAGCAUUUCAACAUGUCUAUUAUAUUUGAAAUCAGGACAGAACCAAGCACUCCCCAAGGCUUCUCCUGGCUCAGAGAAACUGGAGGCAUACAUGUGAGCUGCUCCAUAAUGGUGGAGGAGAUCAUGGUUGUUGUGACUCGAACAUGUCAUUCAAGAAACAGGGUUUACAAGGGCAGGACCAUCAGCAGAAAGUUAAAUUGCAUGAAUUUGAACCACGUUCUCUCCAGGCUCUUCAUGAACUUGUUUCUUUAGUUCAUGACUGUGUUCGUGUUAACAUCACUGACCAAAGUCAAUGCAUACAAUCAACCCCAACAAAUGAUUCUAAAGUUAGCAUGAAAGAUGAAUGUGAUGAAACUUUGACAACUAAUUUAUUUUUCUUAGAGGAUAAUCCAGUUGCUAAAAUUCUUUGGACACUUGAUCCGAGAACUCUUCAGAGCAUCCUUCUUUCGAUGGCGGCAAGUAUGCUCUCCCUUAUAAAGCUCCAAUAGGUGGAUGGGAUUUUUAUUAACAGCGUAGGAAAUUCCCAGCUAUCACAAAAAUAAGCUCCAAUAAUACAUGUCAUAUCCCUCUUCCCAGCACAAAGAACCUUGGAUGCUCUAAUACUGCACUUGCUUUCACCAGUGGGAGCGGAGGUACUUACACGGAAGUUUGAUGGGAUUGAUCAACAGACAACAGAAGGCGAUCGGAACAAAUUCUACCAAGGCUUUUAUGGUGCAUUUGAUGAUCAAUUUGCUGCAAUGGAUGCAGUCCUUAGCGGGAAGGAAUUAUUUGCUCACUGGGCAUUUGAAAAAUCUCUCGAUAAAUACUCGGGAGUAAACUUUGACGUUCCACCACCAAUUUGAUAGGCCAUGCAGUGAUGCAACUUCAUGAAAGAAUUGGUCCCACCUGCAGUAUUAAAAGAGUCGAGCAAAGCAUUUCCAUAGAAGCAGCUUUCUGUCAUAAUCGGUACUUUUACAUAGCAACACUGGAGAAAGAGGCAACAUGUGGACAAUAAUCUGACAUUAUGUAUGUUUCACCCAGCCAACAAGCAUCUCUGCUGUCAACACAAACCAAAAGGAAAGGUCACGUAACCAUAUAGUUGUUAACAGAUAACGCUUGUCUGGUUUCUCACCUUCUGUCAUUUCUUUAUUAUGAAAGUAUUGCUGAAAUCUUGUUAGUCAAAAUUUAUGAGGUAAAAGAAAAUGAGGUUUCAUGGAAUACUUUCAAAGAUGCAAUUUAUACUGUAUUAGAGACCAUGGCGGUGUAUAUGCUAUAUUUUACUUUUUCUCAAUUCAUUACUGAUGAUACUUAUGAGGCGUUGUGUGGAAAAUAGUAUGCUGCAUGGGGAUUUGCAGCAGGAGGAUUAAAGAGGAAAAAGCAUAGAAAAGAAGGCUUUGGUAAUUGCUAGGACUGGGAGGAAGAAAAGAGGGAAAAGGAGGGUUUGUUAAGAUGAGGUUCCCUAAUGGAAGAUGACAUAUGCAAGGGUGUUAAGAGAGGAAAAGGGUGGAGAUAAUGGAAGAGAAACUUUUGGCUUGUCUGGUUGUGCGGCAGAGGGAUAUAAAAAAGAUGCAGUCUUUUUUAGCAGGCAAAUGGCAUGUAUAGUACCUUAACCCAGCAACUUACACAUAUACUUUCUAAAAGCUUGGAUAUUCCAUAUAACACCCGCAACCUCUCCUUUUUAUUAAUCCCCAGGUGUAUCCUCCCUCUUAUCCUAGUGAAUAUACAAAGUUGCGGCAACAAGAAUUUUGCCCAUUACUCUUCUCUGGUUCAGAUGCUCCGAGUAUAUAUGCAAAUUGAACCUGAAAAUCUUCAGGAUCAACGAAGAACUCUUCAUACACCUUCUUUGGGGAUAAACAAACCCUAAAAUCAUGGAAACCAUUUUAUGGAGACUGGUCUCUUGACAUUGCAAUUUAAUUUGUUCAAGAAUGAGAUCGACUGGUGGGUCAUGGAAACAAAGUAGAGAAAAAUCAUUGGAAUCUUAAUAAUAUUGGUUAAGCUGCCUACCAUAACAUGGGGACGUGCACAAAAUUUGAUAAAGGGAUGUAGGGAGGUCAUCAAGGAAAAGAGGACUCA